UACGUAGGGCGCAAGCGUUAUCCGGAAUUAUCGGGCGUAAAGAGCUCGUAGGCGGUUUGUUGCGUCUGACGUGAAAGUCCGGGGCUCAACUCCGGAUCUGCGGUGGGUACGGGCAGACUAGAGUGAUGUAGGGGAGACUGGAAUUCCUGGUGUAGCGGUGAAAUGCGCAGAUAUCAGGAGGAACACCGAUGGCGAAGGCAGGUCUCUGGGCAUUAACUGACGCUGAGGAGCGAAAGCAUGGGGAGCGAACAGG
rnacentral:rRNA from 1 species